UUUGCUUAAAAAAAGAAUAAGAAAUGAUCGUUAAACUAUGCUAAAGGUUAAACACAAUACAUUAAUCUGUCUUAGAGACAACUAGAAAUUUAUUAAUGGUUUAUUGCGACUCCUAAGUGCUAAAAAUUCUUUAUUUAAGUAGCAAGAAAUUUAUACUGAUAAAUUGCUUAAAGAAUUUUUAAUUUAUUACAAGGAAAGAAGGAUAAAUAUGGCUCAAAUUUUCACUCUAUUAAUUAUUAUUUUGCUAUUUCUUGUGGUAACCAACGGAUGUAAGUAAUUUUAGACAUUGUUUAUUUCUUUAUGUUUUACAAAUUUUCUUUUCUUUUUAUAGGGAUAACAAUUGAUAUACGUAUCUUAUUAUAUAAUAAAAAACUAAAAAUAUAUAUAUAUUAGGUAGGUAUGGAGUUGGGUGGGUACUAAAGUACCCGUACUCGCAUAUAUACGCGCUCAUUUUUGCGGGUUAUUACGCGUACUCGUAUCCUUAUUUAAAAUGUGGGUUUUUGCAUAUAUCAACUGUGUAUUAGUCAAAUUGUCAUCCCUACGAUUUUGAUAAUAUUUGUUUAUUAUUAUUUGACUUCUUCGCAGAUGAAUCGUGCAAUACAGUCCGUGAUUGUCCAAUCGAUAUUUGUCCAUUCACUACGGUUAUGAAGUGUGUUAGGAGUAUUUGUCAAUGCUACUAUGACAGAUUUAAGGUUCCAUAUCCGCCGAUUGUUAACAAAAUACGCAGUUAAGCACAGUAAUUAAUUAUAAUUGUUGAUUUGUGAUCAGAUUGUCUAGGGACUGGAUCUCAUGCAGUCAAAGCAUGCUGCAGUCAUGUAGUCACUACAUUUGAACCCUUAGAAUGAAUAUAGAUCACAUAAAUAAUAUAUUUUAAUAAAUUUGGAACAUUGUUUUAAGAUCUAAAUUGUUAGUUUAAUUCGGAUAGUUGAAAACAAUAACCAUGUCGAUGCAGUUAUCCAUAUGAAAAGUAAUUAUAUAUAACUAUAUUGUACAGUAAGUGUAUAAUUUAUUUGUAUCGUAUAAUUUCUCGCACACUUUGAUUUAUGUUUUUCUUACUUUAAAUUCUUUGACAAGCAUCACAAAUGUAUUUUUUUUUUUAUAAGACAAAUGUAUUAUUACUCCAUAA
rnacentral:lncRNA from 1 species